rnacentral:rRNA from 1 species
GACGAACGCUGGCGGCGUGCCUAAUACAUGCAAGUAGAACGCACAGUUUAUACCGUAGCUUGCUACACCAUAGACUGUGAGUUGCGAACGGGUGAGUAACGCGUAGGUAACCUGCCUGGUAGCGGGGGAUAACUAUUGGAAACGAUAGCUAAUACCGCAUAAUAUUGAUUAUUGCAUGAUAAUUGAUUGAAAGUUGCUAUUGCAUCCCUACCAGAUGGCCUUGCGUUGUAUUAGCUAGUAGGUGAGGUAACGGCUCACCUAGGCGACGAUACAUAGCCGACCUGAGAGGGCGAGCGGCCACACUGGGACUGAGACACGGCCCAGACUCCUACGGGAGGCAGCAGGAGGGAAUCUUCGGCAAUGGACGAAAGUCUGACCGAGCAACGCCGCGUGAGUGAAGAAGGUUGUCGGAUCGUAAAGCUCUGUUGUAAGAGAAGAACGGGUGUGAGAGUGGAAAGUUCACACUGUGACGGUAUCUUACCAGAAAGGGACGGCUAACUACGUG